rnacentral:rRNA from 1 species
ACGGAAGGCAGCAGUGGGGAAUAUUGCACAAUGGGCUCAAGCCUGAUGCAGCGAUGCCGCGUGAGGGAAGAAGGUUUUCGGAUUGUAAACCUCUGUCCUCAGGGACGAUAAUGACGGUACCUGAGGAGGAAGCUCCGGCUAACUACGUGCCAGCAGCCGCGGUAAUACGUAGGGAGCGAGCGUUGUCCGGAAUUACUGGGUGUAAAGGGUGCGUAGGCGGGACGGCAAGUCAGAUGUGAAAUGUAUGGGCUCAACCCAUAACCUGCAUUUGAAACUGUUGUUCUUGAGUGAGGUAGAGGUAAGCGGAAUUCCUAGUGUAGCGGUGAAAUGCGUAGAUAUUAGGAGGAACAUCGGUGGCGAAGGCGGCUUACUGGGCCUUUACUGACGCUGAGGCACGAAAGCGUGGGGAGCAAACAGGAUUAGAUACCCUGGUA